rnacentral:Y_RNA from 1 species
GGCUCUGAAGGUAGUGAUUUAUCUCACUUGAUUGUUCACAAUCAGUUAUAGAUUGAACUCCUUAUUCUACUACUUUCCCCCUUCUCACCACUGCACUUGACUAGCCUAAA